CUCAGCUUACAUUUGCUAGGACAAAUUUUGUUCAUAACAAUCUGUAGAAAUCAAAAUUGAGUGUUCCUUUAGAUAAUAAGUUUACUCACAUUCAAGAUUUAAAUUCAUUCUUGGUUAGUAUUAGUUGCUUUAAAAGAAAAUAUUUGUACCGUGUAAUAUUUAGCCUUUAGAUGCACUUGCUUUUUAAUGUGCAACUUCAGUGAAAAAAAGUGCAAAAUCACACAAUUUCAGUUCCUUUCAAGUUCUUUGGGAUGGUUGAAUUGUUAGAAUUGAUCAAACAAACAAACAUGCAGUUACUAAGCUCUGUAAAGCACAAAAUAUCUUCUCAAAGAAGAAGAGAAAACACAGAGGACUGGGAUGAAAGAAAUGCUGAAGUGGAGGGCUACAACAAGGAGAAAAUCCAUAUAGAAGAUGAUUUUACUGAUCCGGAGCCUGAUUAUGAGGAAAGCAAAGCAGAAACGGACUCAACAAUUGGGUAUGUUUAAGGUAAAGCCAUUUCCCAAAUGGACCGCGAAUAAUUUUCUUCAGUGCCAUUUUCUUUUCAAUGGGUAGAGCCACAAGGUGGUUGAUGAAAUUUUAGAUAUGUGAUGAAGUGAGUUAUCUCUGUGUGCUUUGUCUUCCUUAGAACCUACUACCAACCUUUGUAACACUUUUUGUGUUCCCUGUGUUUCUUGAAUUUAUUGCUUAGUGAGUCUAUGGUAUGCUCCUAUGUGUCCUUGUGUUCUUUGUUGCUUCUUCUAUGCUUCUUUCUAGCAUUCAUUACUUCAAUUGCUUCCAUACUUGCUUCUUUGUCUUCCUAUGUAACUAUGUGACAGGAAGCAAUGCUAUUUAUAUUUUUUUUCUCCUUUUCAAUCUCGGCCAUGCAUGUUGUUGUCAAGCUUAGGAAUCAUGUUUCCCAGUAAGCAAUUCUUCGAUUUUGGAUUGAUGUCUUAA